ACGAGGUGGACCCAUCUGGCGCAUGGUAUCCGGCUCAUGCCCCGUUCCCCCCUCGCAACUCUGUCUUCGGACUGACUUCUUGCUCGGAAGAAGCCUGCUUGGAGACAUCGUCACUUUGACAGUCUCCUGGCUCGUUUGCUGGAGGGAGCUGAAGCUUUUCCGGAGGCUCUCCAGCAGCUGCUGCGACUUGUGCAUCUAGCAAGCGUUGCUUAGCGGCGGCACGAACCAGGACGUGUUGCUUGUACGCGUCCACGACAAGCUGCAGCGUCCCCGAAGCACAGAAAAAACGCAAGUCAAUGUUUCUUGGCAAUCCUUCCCCGAAGAGAUACGACCAUCCAGCACGAUUGACAGCUUCUCCAAUCUGUAGAACAGAAAGCGUGUGCACCCCCGUCGUUGGGUGCACGUCGUUGUCGAGUAAGUAACUCCUGAGCACCUCGUGUGCAGUAGAAGCUGGAACAGGACUUACCUGCUCUAGAGCCUGAAAUGAACCGAAGGACAACACAAGCGAAGGCACAACCUGCUUUUCGCGACGUGCAUGGAACGCCUCUGUGCAAGUGUAACUCUGAUGCGUUCAUUGUCGCCACACGCCGCUGGUUGUGGAGUCUACUCACGCCGUGUAGAGAUGCAAAGUGCUAAGGAGGCUCGCUUGCAAGGGUUGCUUUUUCUGUGCCAUGUGACCCGUGUUUUAAAAACGUGCUCACAUCACCUGAGCAGCAGCUCGUAUACCGUUCUCUCUCUCUCUCGCUGUGGGCUUCCAACAUAGGUCAGAAACAGUUGUUCGGCAUAGCGUUACAACAACAACGGACCAGUGCAGUUGAAGCCGCUGAAGAGGACGAAGAGAUGCGUGGGUAUUCCGGCACUUGUCUGGGAGAGCGUCAUAAACGUACUGGAAGUAGGGAUGGCAUAACAGUCUCUUCUAGAUAAGCGGUCUCUGACGUGGAAAGAUCAGGUGACGCUUCCUCGUUCCCCUGAGGCCACAUCCACUCUAGCGUUCGACUCCGUAACGGCGCCUGUGUGCUUUCUUCACCGAUGCUGACGCUUUUCUCCGGCAAUGCAACGUCAACAUCAGGGGUAGCCGAGCAGACGUUGUCCAUCAAGUUGUCGCCAUCCAGAAAUUCUGGUGGCGCCUCCAUUAUUUGUUACCAACUCUUUGUAGAUUCGAACUAUUCGAUCGGAGCCUGGAUUCUAA
rnacentral:lncRNA from 1 species